rnacentral:rRNA from 1 species
AUUGAACGCUGGCGGCAGGCCUAACACAUGCAAGUCGAACGAGUGGCGGACGGGUGAGUAAUGUCUGGGAAACUGCCCGCUGGAGGGGGAUAAAUACUGGAGACGGUCGCUAAUACCGCAUACCAUCGGAUGUGCCCAGAUGGGAUUAGCUAGUAGGUGGGGUAACGGCUCACCUAGGCGACGAUCCCUAGCUGGUCUGAGAGGAUGACCAACCACACUGGAACUGCGAGCCGGACCAGACGCCUACGGGAGGCAGCAGUGGGGACUAUUGCACAAUGGGCGGAAGCCUGAUGCAGCCAUGCCGCGUGUAUGAAGAAGGGCUUCGGGUUGUAAAGUACUUUCAGCGAGGAGGCGUUACUCGCAGAAGAAGCACCGGCUAACUCCGUGCCAGCAGCCGCGGUAAUAC